rnacentral:rRNA from 1 species
AGUGAACGCUGGCGGUAGGCCUAACACAUGCAAGUCGAACGGCAGCACAGUAAGAGCUUGCUCUUACGGGUGGCGAGUGGCGGACGGGUGAGGAAUACAUCGGAAUCUACUUUUUCGUGGGGGAUAACGUAGGGAAACUUACGCUAAUACCGCAUACGACCUACGGGUGAAAGCAGGGGAUCUUCGGACCUUGCGCGAUUGAAUGAGCGGAUGUCGGAUUAGCUAGUUGGCGGGGUAAAGGCCAACCAAGGCGACGAUCCGUAGCUGGUCUGAGAGGAUGAUCGGCCACACUGGAACUGAGACACGGUCCAGACUCCUACGGGAGGCAGCAGUGUGGAAUAUUGGACAAUGGGCGCAAGCCUGAUCCAGCCAUACCGCGUGGGUGAAGAAGGCCUUCGGGUUGGAAAGCCCUUUUGUUGGGAAAGAAAAGCAGCAGGUUAAUACCCCGCUGUUCUGACGGUACCCAAUGAAUAAGCACCGGCUAACUUCGUG